UACGUAGGGUGCGAGCGUUGUCCGGAAUUAUUGGGCGUAAAGAGCUUGUAGGCGGUUUGUCGCGUCUGCUGUGAAAUCUCAAGGCUCAACCUUGAGCUUGCAGUGGGUACGGGCAGACUAGAGUGUGGUAGGGGAGACUGGAAUUCCUGGUGUAGCGGUGAAAUGCGCAGAUAUCAGGAGGAACACCGAUGGCGAAGGCAGGUCUGCUGGGCCUGUCCUGACGCUGGAGGCGCGAAAGCUAGGGGAGCGAACAGG
rnacentral:rRNA from 1 species